rnacentral:rRNA from 1 species
CCUGCCCACUGAUUAAUUAAAUGGCCGCAGUAAUUUGACUGUGCAAAGGUAGCAUAAUCAUUAGUUUUUUAAUUAAAAGCUUGUAUGAAGGGUUGGACGAGGUAAGAUCUGUCUCUAUUUAAUUUAUUAUAGAAUUUAAUUUUUAAGUUAAAAAGCUUAAAUUUUAAUAAAAGACGAGAAGACCCUAUAGAUCUUUAUAUUUAUAUUAUUAAUUUUAUUUAGGAUUAUUUUAUUUUUUAUUAAUUAAAAUAUUUUAUUGGGGUAAUAGAGAGAUUAGAUAAAUUCUUUUUUUUUAUUAUAUAGAUUAAUAAAUAUUUGAUCCAAUUAUUUUGAUUAUAAGAUUAAGUUACCUUAGGGAUAACAGCGUAAUUUUUUUAGAGAGUUCAUAUCGAUAAGAAAGUUUGCGACCUCGAUGUUGGAUUAAAAAUUAUUU